CCUACGGGGGGCAGCAGUGAGGAAUAUUGGUCAAUGGGCGCGAGUCUGAACCAGCCAAGUAGCGUGAAGGAUGACUGCCCUACGGGUUGUAAACUUCUUUUAUAAAGGAAUAAAGUGAGGUACGUGUGCCUUUUUGUAUGUACUUUACGAAUAAGGAUCGGCUAACUCCGUGCCAGCCGCCGCGGUAAUACGGAGGAUUCGAGCGUUAUCCGGAUUUAUUGGGUUUAAAGGGAGCGUAGAUGGUUUGUUAAGUCAGUGGUGAAAGUUUGCGGCUCAACCGUCAAAAUGCAAUUGAUACUGGCAGCCUUGAGGACAGUUGAGGUAGGCGGAAUUCGUGGUGUAGCGGUGAAAUGCAUAGAUAUCACGCAGAACUCCGAUUGCGAAGGCAGCCUACUAAACUGCCACUGACAUUGAUGCUCGAAAGUGUGGGUAUCAAACAGGAUUAGAUACCCUAGUAGUC
rnacentral:rRNA from 1 species